UACGUAGGGCGCAAGCGUUGUCCGGAAUUAUUGGGCGUAAAGAGCUCGUAGGCGGCUUGUCACGUCGGGUGUGAAAGCCCGGGGCUUAACCCCGGGUCUGCAUUCGAUACGGGCUAGCUAGAGUGUGGUAGGGGAGAUCGGAAUUCCUGGUGUAGCGGUGAAAUGCGCAGAUAUCAGGAGGAACACCGGUGGCGAAGGCGGAUCUCUGGGCCUUACCUGACGCUGAGGAGCGAAAGCGUGGGUAGCGAACAGG
rnacentral:rRNA from 1 species